rnacentral:rRNA from 1 species
UCCAGACUCCUACGGGAGGCAGCAGUGAGGGAUAUUGGUCAAUGGGGGAAACCCUGAACCAGCAACGCCGCGUGAGGGAAGACGGUUUUCGGAUUGUAAACCUCUGUCCUCUGUGAAGAUGAUGACGGUAGCAGAGGAGGAAGCUCCGGCUAACUACGUGCCAGCAGCCGCGGUAAUACGGAGGAUGCGAGCGUUAUCCGGAUUUAUUGGGUUUAAAGGGUGCGCAGGCGGAAGAUCAAGUCAGCGGUAAAAUUGAGAGGCUCAACCUCUGCGAGCCGUUGAAACUGGUUUUCUUGAGUGAGCGAGAAGUAUGCGGAAUGCGUGGUGUAGCGGUGAAAUGCAUAGAUAUCACGCAGAACCCCGAUUGCGAAGGCAGCCUUCCGGCGCCCUACUGACGCUGAGGCACGAAAGUGCGGGGAUCGAACAGGAUUAGAUACCCGGGUAAG